GACGAACGCUGGCGGCGUGCUUAACACAUGCAAGUCGAACGGAAAGGCCCUGCCUUUGUGGGGUGCUCGAGUGGCGAACGGGUGAGUAACACGUGAGUAACCCGCCCCUGACUUUGGGAUAACUUCAGGAAACUGGGGCUAUUACCGGAUAGUAGCUCCUGCUGCAUGGUGGGGGUUGGAUAGUUUCGGCGGUUGGGGAUGGACUCGCGGCUUAUCGGCUUGUUGGUGGGGGAGGGGCUUACCAGGGCCCUGACGGGCAGCCGGCCUGAGUGGGUGACCGGCAACAUGGGGACUGGGAUACGGCCCAGACUCCUACGGGGGGCGGCGGUGGGGAGUAUUGCACAAUGGGCGGAGGCCGGAUGCAGCAACGCGGCGGGCGGGAUGACGGCCUUCGGGUUGUAAACCGCUUUCGCAUGUGACGAGGCGUGAGUGACGGUAAUGGGUGAAGAAGCACCGGCUAACUACGUG
rnacentral:rRNA from 1 species